rnacentral:rRNA from 1 species
CACGUAGGGGCAAGCGUUGUCCGGAUUUAUUGGCGUAAAGAGCGUGUAGGCGGCCAGAUAGGUCCGUUGUGAAACUCGAGCUCAACCUCGAGACGCCGAUGGAAGCCAUUGGCUAGAGUCCGGAAGAGGAGAGUGGAAUUCCUGGAUGUAGCGGUGAAAUGCGCAGAUAUCGGGAGGAACACCUGUGGCGAAAGCGGCUCACUGGACCACAA